rnacentral:rRNA from 1 species
UACGGGGGGGCAAGCGUUGUUCGGAAUUACUGGGCGUAAAGGGCUCGUAGGUGGCCAACUAAGUCAGACGUGAAAUCCCUCGGCUUAACCGGGGAACUGCGUCUGAUACUGGAUGGCUUGAGUUCGGGAGAGGGAUGCGGAAUUCCAGGUGUAGCGGUGAAAUGCGUAGAUAUCUGGAGGAACACCGGUGGCGAAGGCGGCAUCCUGGACCGACACUGACACUGAGGAGCGAAAGCCAGGGGAGCAAACGGGAGUUAGAA